rnacentral:rRNA from 1 species
AGUUCGGAUUGCAGGCUGCAACCCGCCUGCAUGAAGUCGGAAUUGCUAGUAAUCGCGGAUCAGAAUGCCGCGGUGAAUACGUUCCCGGGCCUUGUACACACCGCCCGUCACACCAUGAGAGUCGGGAACACCCGAAGUCCGUAGUCUAACCGCAAGGAGGGCGCGGCCGAAGGUGGGCUUGAUAAUUGGGGUGAAGUCGUAACAAGGUAAC